rnacentral:rRNA from 1 species
GACGAACGCUGGCGGCGUGCUUAACACAUGCAAGUCGAACGGAAAGGCCCUGCUUUUGUGGGGUGCUCGAGUGGCGAACGGGUGAGUAACACGUGAGUAACCUGCCCUUGACUUUGGGAUAACUUCAGGAAACUGGGGCUAAUACCGGAUAGGAGCUCCUGCUGCAUGGUGGGGGUUGGAAAGUUUCGGCGGUUGGGGAUGGACUCGCGGCUUAUCAGCUUGUUGGUGGGGUAGUGGCUUACCAAGGCUUUGACGGGUAGCCGGCCUGAGAGGGUGACCGGCCACAUUGGGACUGAGAUACGGACCAGAAUACUACGGGAGGCAGCAGUGGGGAAUAUUGCACAAUGGGGGGAAGCAUGAUGCAGAAACGCCGCGUGCGGGAUGCCGGCCUUCGGGUUGUGAACAGCUUUCGCAUGUGACGAAGCGUGAGUGACGGUAAUGAGUAAAGAAGCCCCGGCUAACUACGUG